UCCACGUGGCCGUGAGGAGCACACACAUACAUCUCCAGCAAUCCAAAUGCACCACAUGUAGCCCCUGUGCCUGAUAGUCAUGUGUGUGAGGGCACAGGAGUCCUGCCUCUUCUCAGCCUCUGCCUCCCUGGCCUCCUCUGGCCAUUCACGGAAAGGGCCCAGGAAGCAAGCAAGGCCAGGAUGGGACAGGCAUCAUUAAAUACCACCCUGCCCUUUCUCUUUCCUUCUAGCUGUCCUCUCCCCCAGGGGCUUCUUCACAUGAUAAUAAUGAUGCUCAGGUGGGCCACAGGGCUGUCACCUCUGUCUUGUAUCUCUGAUGCUCAAAAAAGGGACCUUGAGCUCUGACAACCUCCCAGCCCAGCUCUAAUCUGCUCAGUCCAGAGAGCAGCACCCACUCAGGAGACCUGGAGUCCUGUCUCAGCUCUGCCACUUCUUGGCUAUGUGCCCAUGAUCUAAUCGUCCCCUCUGUAAACAGGACUGCUGCUCUCAAGGCUGAUGAGAAGCACAGAUGGAAUAACACCUGGAAUGACGUCAGACCUCCUCUCCACACAUCUCUCUUCACCUCUUCCCCAAUGGGUCGAACCCGCCACACAAGGAAGCUGCUGCAGCCCUCUCCUGCUCUGUCUUCUGAGUACUGUCCUGACAGGUCCACUCAUUCCUGACCUCGCAUAUACAUGGAAAGCUAAUAGAGGGCCAGGAAAACAGUGAGGACUUCCCUGGGAGGUACAGGUAGAGAUGGCAACCUGGCCAGCUGGAAGAACUCAGCCUGGGAGUCAGGAAGUCUGGGACAGGGUCUGUCUCCAUCUCCACUCACACUGUGACCAGGAAAAGUAUGUGCCUCUCUGCAUCUCGGUCUUCUCAUCUGAAACACGGGGAUAUAAGCAGGGUCUGGGUAGAUCCAAGGGAUCUGAUUUUAAACAGGAAGAAGGUUUCACAUACAUUCCUGGUCAGAAGAGAAAUCAGGACAUAAAAGUCAUAUUUAUGCAAGCUUUUAAAAACACCUUAGUGGUGUAUUAAGAAUUGUAAUGCAAAUAAUAAUAAUAAUGAUAAUAAUAAUAAUAGAGCUCAUGUAUAAUGGCAUAAUUUGGAGCGAACAUAUUUUAUAUACAGAGUUACAAAAAAAUGGUGUUGUGAUGGAUAGUUAUUAUUGUAAUGCAUUCCACUUUUGUCAUGUAUGUAAGAAAUUUUUAAAAAUAGUUAAAAAAAAAAAUAGAAACAUAUAAAAUAGAAUAAUUUCCUGCCACAUUGUCUAUAAUAGCAAAAAUUGGAAACAACUAUUCAUAAAUAUAAGUGGAAAUACCUUGAAGCUGGGAAAAAAAAAAGUGAGGAAAUCAGUGUGGGUGGGGGGGUAGUUUGUUUGUUUUUGGUUUUAAACAAAACAAAACCUUAAACCCCUAAGGUUGCUUUACCACUGAGCUACAUCCCCAGCCCUUUUCUUAAUUUUUUUUUUUUCAAGACUGGGUCUUGCUAAAUUGCUGAGGGCUUUGCUAAGUUGCUGAGGCUGGCCUUGAACUUGUGAUCGUCCUGCCUCAGCUUCCUGAGUUGCUGGGAUUAAAGGUGUGCACCACUGUGCCAGGUGAGGAAAUUCUUUAUGUUCUGAAAUGAGUUAAUUUCAGCAUGUGGAAGAAUGUGUAAGCUCAGGUGGCUCUCGAGUCACUGAGAAACUGAUAACACUGGUUGCAGGGCAGCAGGAGAACUGGAGGGAAGGCAGAGUAAGAGUCUUUUCUUUUCAUCUGUUAUAAAUUUCUGGACUGUAGGAAUGUAUUCCCUAUUUACCUAUUUUUAAAAUUUGAAAUGAUUUGUGUUCUUUGUAAAAAAAAAUUCUUUAAAAAUCUAGCUUAGGGAAAUGAUUCUUUAGUUUUGAGCACAGAUUCAUGUACAAGAAUGUUCAUCAGAGCCUUUUUUGAAGACAAGAUCAGUAAGGGAGGGAAUAUUGGCAGACAUCAGAAAGGGGGAGGAGCUAUUGUAAUCCUCAGGCAGAGAAAGAGGGCUGAGCUCAAUGGAUUGUUGCAUUAAAAACAAAACAGCAUUUUCUGCAAAUUUUAUGUGCAGAGCUACAGAUGUCUGGAAGGGUGUUCACAUUUCAUAAAUGUCAGUGCUGCUUAUUGGGUGACUUCUAUUUAAUUAAAAAAAAUUCCUGAUGUUUAAAGGCCUGGGUUAGUUUUCUUUUUAAAAUGCUUACUAUAAAUAAUUAAUAAAGUGUGUAUCAGUGUGUAUAGUAGUCAUAGAGAAAGUCUAGAAAGAAAUAUUCAAA
rnacentral:lncRNA from 1 species